AUACGGAGGAUGCGAGCGUUAUCCGGAUUUAUUGGGUUUAAAGGGAGCGUAGGCGGGAGCUUAAGUCAGCGGUUAAAUGGUGCGGCUCAACCGUGACCUGCCGUUGAAACUGGGUUUUUUGAGAGUGCAAGAGGCGGAUGGAAUAUAUGGGGUAGCUGUGAAAUGCUUAGAUAUCAUGAAGAACUCCGAUUGCGAAGGCAGUCCGCUGGGGCACGUCUGACGCUGAUGCUCGAAGGUGCGGGAAUCAAACAGGAUUAGAUACCCUGGUAGUCCACGCAGUAAACGAUGAUGGCUAACCGCUGGGCUUAUCAGUUCAGUGGCCAAGCGAAAGCGAUAAGCCAUCCACCUGGGGAGUACGACCGCAAGGUUGAAACUCAAAUGAAUUGACGGGG
rnacentral:rRNA from 1 species